GAGUUGCAUAUCGGCACUCGGUCAUUCGAUCGUGCAACAAGCUGACCAGCUGCAAAAAUAAUUACAAUUUUGAAAUUAAAAAAAUCCUUUUCCUGAAUGGUGUCUGAUUUGGAUUUGUUCUUAAUUUAUAUUUUAAUUUUUUUCUAUUUCAUGUCAGAUGUUUUAAUUAAAAUGAAGGGGUUAUCAGCCAGCUUAUGGUAAAUAGAUGAUGGAUUGCUUAUAAAUUGAGUCAUUAUUUUCAGUGACGCGUGUGAUGGGCUCAUUGAACUGCAAAUAAAUCAUUUAAAUGGAGCAAACAACAUCAUUGUUUAAGAGGAUUGUGCAGUAGUGCUGGACAAACAUUUGCUUGGAACGAUAAAAAAAAAAAAUGUGCUUUGAAAGUGAUUGAUCCCCAGCUAUGAUUUGGCGCUGCCAAGGAAAAACCAGCCUUUUGGGGCCACCUGAGGAGGUACCUGGUGGCAACCUCGAGCCUGACGACAGGAAGUCCGACGGACUUGCAGAUGGAAACUGCGUUGGUUGAGAAGGCCGUGGAAAAAUUGAGUCUCGGUCCGAUUUCGAUGAGGACCGAGUCGUCCGCCUCCAGGGGCAGGACUGAGGCCUCCGUCAGCAGGUCAGGGGCCUCAGGGUCGGCCAGCAGCCACCGCAGUCGCUGCAGCUGCGUGCCGUCCAGGGUCGCCUCCACCUGGAUGUAGAAUGAAAGUUCCGCCUGGACGGACGCAAGGUCGGGGGCGGCCUUCCUCAGGGUGGCCAGCCGAGAGGCCAAGCGGUCCUCGGAGGCGGCAGGCGUGCGGAACAGACGGACAAUCAUGUCGGCGUGCGAGACAAGUCGUCGGAGCGGCAAUCUUGCACUGACAGCCGGUCCGUGGUCCGACGAGCAGAGCAGAGUGCAAUAUACGCGCACGUGACCCCUUGAGGGCAGGUCAGGUGUGUGCAACAAGUGGUGGUGGAAGAGAGACUGAGAACAAUUCAGUACAUAAGAGUCCCUUCGAAUUUCGCUCACUUUUGUCUGCUGAAAAUAAAAAUAAAAUUAGUAAUUGUUAAUUUGUUUUUUAAUUAAUCUAAUGCCAAAGUUUUCGGUCGU